CAAGUCGAGCGGGGUGAUGUAGCUUGCUACAUUACCUAGCGGCGGACGGGUGAGUAAUGCUUAGGAAUCUGCCUAUUAGUGGGGAACAACAUUCCGAAAGGAAUGCUAAUACCGCAUACGCCCUACGGGGGAAAGCAGGGGAUCUUCGGACCUUGCGCUAAUAGAUGAGCCUAAGUCAGAUUAGCUAGUUGGUGGGGUAAAGGCCUACCAAGGCGACGAUCUGUAGCGGGUCUGAGAGGAUGAUCCGCCACACUGGGACUGAGACACGGCCCAGACUCCUACGGGAGGCAGCAGUGGGGAAUAUUGGACAAUGGGCGAAAGCCUGAUCCAGCCAUGCCGCGUGUGUGAAGAAGGCCUUUUGGUUGUAAAGCACUUUAAGCGAGGAGGAGGCUACUUAGAUUAAUACUCUAGGAUAGUGGACGUUACUCGCAGAAUAAGCUCCGGCUAACUCUGUGCCAGCAGCCGCGGUAAUACAGAGGGUGCGAGCGUUAAUCGGAUUUACUGGGCGUAAAGCGUGCGUAGGCGGCUUUUUAAGUCGGAUGUGAAAUCCCUGAGCUUAACUUAGGAAUUGCAUUCGAUACUGGGAAGCUAGAGUAUGGGAGAGGAUGGUAGAGUUCCAGGUGUAGCGGUGAAAUGCGUAGAGAUCUGGAGGAAUACCGAUGGCGAAGGCAGCCAUCUGGCCUAAUACUGACGCUGAGGUACGAAAGCAUGGGGAGCAAACAGGAUUAGAUACCCUGGUAGUCCAUGCCGUAAACGAUGUCUACUAGCCGUUGGGGCCUUUGAGGCUUUAGUGGCGCAGCUAACGCGAUAAGUAGACCGCCUGGGGAGUACGGUCGCAAGACUAAAACUCAAAUGAAUUGACGGG
rnacentral:rRNA from 1 species